CCAAGUUCAUCUCAUGAAGGGCAAGGCCAAGUAUUAAAUAAUAAAGAAUAUUGUUGAAGGUGCUUAGAGGGAAACAUUAGAAACCUCUAUUGUUAAAGCAUUUUUUAGUCUUUAGUUAGGAGUUUUAGGGGGGGGGUGUUAGUAGAUAGGUGUAGGAGUAAAUAAGGAGGUGCCAAAGUGAGAGAAGGGAUCACACCUUCCUCAUGCAUUGUUUUAGGCGCCAAUUCUAGAAGCUUUUAGGAGGGAGUUUUUUGAAUUUGUGUAGCUUACAUUUCAGCACCUUAGGCUAUAAAUUAAGGUGCAGCCCUUGUAUUUUUCAGAAUUGAAAUGAGAGUAAAGAAACUAUACUCAAUUUUUGAGUGAGC
rnacentral:lncRNA from 1 species